GACGACGCUGGCGGCGUGCUUAACACAUGCAAGUCGAACGAGUGGCGAACGGGUGAGUAAUGUCUGGGAAACUGCCUGAUGGAGGGGGAUAACUACUGGAAACGGUAGCUAAUACCGCAUACCAUCGGAUGUGCCCAGAUGGGAUUAGCUAGUAGGUGGGGUAAAGGCUCACCGAGGCGACGAUCCCUAGCUGGUCUGAGAGGAUGACCAGCCACACUGGAACGGAGACACAGUCCAGACUCCUACGGGAGGCAGCAGGGGGGAAUAGUGAACAAUGGGAGAAAGCAUGAUGCAGACAAGCCGCGGGUAUGAAGAAGGCCUUCGGGUUGUAAAGUACUUGCAGCGGGGAGGCGUUACCCGCAGAAGAAGCACCGGCUAACUCCGUGCGAGCAGGCGCGGUAAUAC
rnacentral:rRNA from 1 species